AUGGGAGAUAGGGACGAGAGAGAAGUGUGUACUGAAAGAUUGUUCAAGUGCAGUCCUCUUGAUCAUUAUUUUUCACUAUAGUUGCAGUGAAACUUAGUCCCUGUGGAGACAUAUUGAAGUAUCAUAUGAUUCGUUCUAAAGCUAGCCUCAAAAGUGAUUGAAUCCGAUACAUUUCUAAAGAUACAGAAAUUUACAUAAUUAGAAAUGAUUCGUCGAUGAAAUCAUAUGUAGCUAGAAGCCCUGAUCAAGACAAUGACAAAAGAUACUAGCUGGUCAAAAGCCAGAAA